UGGGGAAUAUUGGUCAAUGGACGCAAGUCUGAACCAGCCAUGCCGCGUGAAGGAUGAAGGUCCUCUGGAUUGUAAACUUCUUUUAUAGGGGGCGAAAAAAGGGAAAUCUUUCUCACUUGACAGUACCCUAUGAAUAAGCACCGGCUAACUCCGUGCCAGCAGCCGCGGUAAUACGGAGGGUGCAAGCGUUAUCCGGAUUCACUGGGUUUAAAGGGUGCGUAGGCGGGCGUAUAAGUCAGUGGUGAAAUCCUGGAGCUUAACUCCAGAACUGCCAUUGAUACUAUAUGUCUUGAAUAUGGUGGAGGUAAGCGGAAUAUGUCAUGUAGCGGUGAAAUGCAUAGAUAUGACAUAGAACACCUAUUGCGAAGGCAGCUUACUACGCCUAUAUUGACGCUGAGGCACGAAAGCGUGGGGAUCAAACAGGAUUAGAUACCCUGGUAGUCCACGCCCUAAACGAUGAUUACUCGACGUGUGCGAUAAACGGUACG
rnacentral:rRNA from 1 species